GACAGAGGGGGCAAGCGUUGCUCGGAAUCACUGGGCGUAAAGCGCGCGUAGGCGGUUACUUAAGUUGGAUGUGAAAGCCCUCGGCUUAACCGAGGAAGUGCAUCCAAAACUGAGUAGCUAGAGUACGAAAGAGGGUCGCGGAAUUCCCGGUGUAGAGGUGAAAUUCGUAGAUAUCGGGAGGAACACCGGUGGCGAAGGCGGCGACCUGGGUCGAGACUGACGCUGAGGCGCGAAAGCGUGGGGAGCAAACAGG
rnacentral:rRNA from 1 species